GAUGAACGCUGGCGGCGUGCCUAAUACAUGCAAGUCGAGCGAACAGAUGAGGAGCUUGCUCCUCUGACGUUAGCGGCGGACGGGUGAGUAACACGUGGAUAACCUACCUAUAAGACUGGGAUAACUUCGGGAAACCGGAGCUAAUACCGGAUAAUAUAUUGAACCGCAUGGUUCAAUAGUGAAAGACGGUUUUGCUGUCACUUAUAGAUGGAUCCGCGCCGCAUUAGCUAGUUGGUAAGGUAACGGCUUACCAAGGCAACGAUGCGUAGCCGACCUGAGAGGGUGAUCGGCCACACUGGACCUGAGACACGGUCCAGACUCCUACGGGAGGCAGCAGUAGGGAAUCUUCCGCAAUGGGCGAAAGCCUGACGGAGCAACGCCGCGUGAGUGAUGAAGGUCUUCGGAUCGUAAAACUCUGUUAUUAGGGAAGAACAAAUGUGUAAGUAACUAUGCACGUCUUGACGGUACCUAAUCAGAAAGCCACGGCUAACUACGU
rnacentral:rRNA from 1 species